rnacentral:rRNA from 1 species
UACGGAGGGUGCAAACGUUGCUCGGAAUCAUUGGGCGUAAAGCGCGCGUAGGCGGCGAGGCAAGUUGGAUGUGAAAUCCCCGGGCUCAACCUGGGAACUGCAUCUGAUACUGGCAAGCUUGAGUCUCGUAGAGGGGGGUAGAAUUCCAGGUGUAGCGGUGAAAUGCGUAGAGAUCUGGAGGAAUACCGGUGGCGAAGGCGGCCCCCUGGACGAAGACUGACGCUCAGGUGCGAAAGCGUGGGGAGCAAACAGG